UGAAAAUUGCAUUCAUGAAUGCAUGCUUAAUUGUUUUGGGCAAAAUGGUCACACUACAGUGUGAAUGCAUGCUGGCAGGGUCAUGUGGCAUUCAGGAUUUAAUUGAGGUCGAAAAGUGGAAGUGAUUUUUGUAGCAAGGAAGAAGAGUUCAUUUAACUGAAAUAAAAAUUCAUACUCUAAUUUUAAACUAGAACAGUGAAGGCUAUAUGGAUAUGUUUGAAAUACUGCUAAUAGAAAUUUGAAAGUAGUAUAUAUAUAUCAUCAUAGUUUAUAUAUUUUAUGGAAGUUAAUUUAAUCAAUUUGUAGUUUCUAAAUUAUAUGAGAUGAACCUGAUUUUUUUUAAAUCAGUUAAGUACUUAAAAUUUAAGGCAGAUGUGGUACAUGUUUUGUGUGUGUUUUGCCCCUCUUGUGACUCCAUUGCCCUUAUAUGGUCCUUCCUGUUCCUGUCCUUGUUGUGUGAAUUGUUUCCAGCCAUGUUUAUUAUUUUUUUCCCAGGUGUUUCCCAUAGAUGUCCGUGUAUUUAUAGUGUGUUCUGUCUCCAAUUCCUCAUCUGCAGUUAUACGUUAUUCUGUUCUCCCGAUGUCUCCAGUCCCGUAAUCCCCAGCGUGCUGUUAAUAAAACUCUUUUGACUUAUUUACUCCUUGCCUCCUCACUUCUUUGUUCCUGUGUUCCUAGUGAGUUGUGACAGUUUUUAGGACUCUUACCACUUGCUCUCCUGUUAAUCUCACGGUCUCCUGCACAAGCCUGUCAGUCAUAUCCCACUGAGCAUGAACUGAAGAUGUCUGCUCACCAACUGACAACCAUAGUGCAUUCAAGGUCACUUUACACUGGAUCUGCACUGCAGCAUGCUUGCAUCAUCAAUGUCUGUGCUGACACAUGCGUUCUGAUGGAAUGUUGGAUCCGUGUCUUUCUGGGAUUCACGUUGGGGGAGGAGGAGAUCACUUUAAAAGCAGCCGGCGCACCACCACUGACAGGCAAGCGGCCAGUCUGGGCAAUGAGCUCUGAGAACAGUUCUGUGUCACUAACAAGAUCCAGAUGGCGUUUAAAAUCAAAGGAAGCACAAAAAAUGAGAGCAGAUAAGGAAAGCAAUUUGAGGAAGAGCUUUGGAGUAAUGGAUCUGGAGACUGCAGCUCUUUCACUGUAAUAUAAUUGUACAAGAUUUAAGGGGAGAGUGGAUGCAAACGCCAGUUUUUAAGAAAUUAAUGCUUUUAUUCAGCAAGGGCACAUUAAAUUGGUCAAAUCUGACAGUAAAAUAAAUUAAUGCUGUUUUGAACUUCCUGUUUAUCACAAUCCUGUGAAAAUGCAUCACAGUUUCCACAAAAAUAUUAAGUGGCACUGUUUUCAAAACAGAUGAUAAAUAUUUCUUGAGCAGCAAAUCAGCAUGCUGCAAUUAUUUCUGUGACACUGAAGACUGGAGUAAUGAUGCUGAAAAUACAGCUUUGUCACAACAGGAAUAAAUUAAAUUUUUCUAUAUAUUAAAAUAGAAAACAUUUAUUUAAAAUUGUAAAAAUAUAUAUCUAAAUAUUUUUGUAUUUAGUGGAUGUUUGAUCAAAUAAAAAUAAUAUAGUAUUGUGCUCAUAAUAGGCUUCUACCAAAAAUACUACAAAAUCUUACUGACCUCAAACUUUUGAAUGGUGGUGUAAAGCAUGUUUCCACCUCAGAGUAGAAAAUAAAAAAGUAAACAUGAAAGUGUAAAAUAAGAUU
ensembl:lncRNA